AUACUAACUUGGCAAGGGAGAUACCGUGAUCACGAGGGUGGUUUUCCCAGGGUGAGGCUUAUCCAUUGUGCUUUGGAUGUGCUGAUCCCUGAGAUUUCCCCAAAUGUGGGACACUGGACUGCUUAAUUUGUGGUAGUGGGGGACUGCAUUUGCACUCUCACU